AGAGUUUGAUCAUGGCUCAGAACGUACGCUGGCGGCACGCCUAACACAUGCAAGUCGAACGCAGUAGCAAUACUGAGUGGCAGACGGGUGAGUAUAAUGUGGGAAUCUGCCUUUUGGUCUGGAAUAACACGGGGAAACUUGUGCUAAUACCGGAUAAGCCUUUACAGGGAAAGUUUUAAUGCCAAAAGAUGAGCCCGCACUUGAUUAGCUAGUUGGUAAGGUAAAAGCUUACCAAGGCAACGAUCAAUAGCUGUUCUUAGAGGAAGACCAGCCACAUUGGGACUGAGACACGGCCCAGACUCCUACGGGAGGCAGCAGUGGGGAAUCUUGCACAAUGGGGGAAACCCUGAUGCAGCGAUGCCGCGUGAGUGAAGAAGGCCCUUGGGUUGUAAAACUCUUUCGUCGGGGAAGAAAAUGACUGUACCCGAAUAAGAAGGUCCGGCUAACUUCGUGCCAGCAGCCGCGGUAAUACGAAGGGACCUAGCGUAGUUCGGAAUUACUGGGCUUAAAGAGCUCGUAGGUGGUUAAAAAAGUUGAUGGUGAAAUCCCAAGGCUUAACCUUGGAACUGCCAUCAAAACUUUUUAGCUAGAGUGUGAUAGAGGUAAGUGGAAUUUCUAGUGUAGAGGUGAAAUUCGUAGAUAUUAGAAAGAACACCAAAUGCGAAGGCAACUUACUGGGUCACUACUGACACUGAGGAGCGAAAGCAUGGGUAGCGAAGAGGAUUAGAUACCCUCGUAGUCCAUGCCGUAAAC
rnacentral:rRNA from 1 species